CAGUCGUACCUUCGGGUAAUCAGCCUUUCGGGUGCGAUUCUGUGGAGUGUGAGGAGUUAAACACCUUCAUGUUUUGCAUAUUCGUACUCUUGGGUGUACUUGCCCGUGUGGUUGGUUAACAUCAAUUUUGGUGGUCAUAAAAUGACUGGAGGAAUGUAGCUUCGAUCUCGUAUUGAAGUGUUAUAGCCUUCGGUAGAUGUGAUGAUCGAGAUUGAGGAUUGCAACGGAUACCCUUCGGGGCUACCUGUCUGAUCUCUGAUCGUUGCUCUGGUGCCGAAAGCUUGCUUACGGUUAUCAAAGUCGAUGGUCAAUAGGUUAGAACGGGUUAAA
rnacentral:rRNA from 1 species